CGCUCGCUCUUCCUCGGUUCUCCCCUCCCGGCUGAAGACCGGGGACCGGAGCGAGCAGA
rnacentral:precursor_RNA from 1 species